rnacentral:lncRNA from 1 species
AUAUAUAUAUAUAUAGUUGAGCUAGAAUACUAUUAAAAGUAUUUGAGCACUUUUGCUAUUGAUUUUUUAACCCUUAGUGUUUGAUCCAAAGGAUAUUAGUAGUCAAAGGAUAGAUCUAAGGGUUAGAAAUCUAGAAGCACCAAGGUGUUGGUGCUUUUGGGUUUGUAGUCCUUGGAUGGAGUGAUGUAGGGAUAGGAUGAUGGUGGUCGGUGGCGAUAGGUGGUAGUAGGUAAAAUAAUGUUUGAUCAAAAAGCUAUUAGUAGUCAAAGGGUAGAUCUAAGAGUUAGAAACGUAGAAGCACAAAGGGGCUAGUAUUUUUAGGUAUAUUCUAGCUCAAUUAUAUAUAUAUAUAUAUAUAUAUAUAGAGAGAGAGAGAGAGAGAGAGAGAGAGAGAGAGAGAGAGAGAGAGAG